UACGUAGGGUGCGAGCGUUAAUCGGAAUUACUGGGCGUAAAGCGUGCGCAGGCGGUUCGUUAAGUCAGAUGUGAAAGCCCCGGGCUCAACCUGGGAACUGCAUUUGAAACUGGCGGGCUUGAGUGUGGCAGAGGGGGGUGGAAUUCCGCGUGUAGCAGUGAAAUGCGUAGAGAUGCGGAGGAACACCGAUGGCGAAGGCAGCCCCCUGGGCCAACACUGACGCUGAGGCACGAAAGCGUGGGGAGCAAACAGG
rnacentral:rRNA from 1 species